rnacentral:rRNA from 1 species
UACGGGGGGGGGCAAGCGUUGUUCGGAAUUACUGGGCGUAAAGGGCUCGUAGGCGGCCAACUAAGUCGGACGUGAAAUCCCUCGGCUUAACCGGGGAACUGCGUCCGAUACUGGAUGGCUUGAGUUUGGGAGAGGGAUGCGGAAUUCCAGGUGUAGCGGUGAAAUGCGUAGAUAUUGGGAGGAACACCAGUGGCGAAGGCGGCUCACUGGACCGGUACUGGACGCUGAUGCGCGAAAGCGUGGGAGCAAACGGG